AUGGAUGGAAUGCUCGGCAUGUCUAGCUUUAAUGACAAAGCGACAAACAUUGAUAUCUGGGUGUUACAGGACUAUGAAAGCGAGGUCUGGACCUUCAAAUGCCACAUUGAAUUGCCGCUUACAGAGAUUAGGGCGUCGUGUGGAAAACGCGACGACGAUGACUCUUGGGAAACGGUCGCGCCUGGGGAUGGUGAGUUGCUUGUGCUGGUCAAAUUUCCUGACUGGCUAGUUCAGGUUGACAUGGAUGGCAAGUUGGUCGCCACUUUCAAUCACACAGGUGUCGAACCUACUCAACUGCAGCUCAAACAAAGUCUUGUUCCGCAUGACUUCUUUCCAUCGCUACAUGGUUAUGUUGUGAAUGGUUGGCCUUUCACCUGA
rnacentral:rRNA from 1 species